UGCUGAAGAGUCUCAUAAUAGGACGAAACGGCCGUCCA
rnacentral:hammerhead_ribozyme from 1 species